AGCGAACGCUGGCGGCAGGCCUAACACAUGCAAGUCGAACGAACUCUUCGGAGUUAGUGGCGGACGGGUGAGUAACACGUGGGAACGUGCCUUUUGGUUCGGAAUAACUCAGGGAAACUUGUGCUAAUACCGAAUGUGCCCUUCGGGGGAAAGAUUUAUCGCCAUUAGAGCGGCCCGCGUCUGAUUAGCUAGUUGGUGAGGUAACGGCUCACCAAGGCGACGAUCAGUAGCUGGUCUGAGAGGAUGACCAGCCACACUGGGACUGAGACACGGCCCAGACUCCUACGGGAGGCAGCAGUGGGGAAGCUUGCGCAAUGGGCGAAAGCCUGACGCAGCCAUGCCGCGUGAAUGAUGAAGGUCUUAGGAUUGUAAAAUUCUUUCACCGGGGACGAUAAUGACGGUACCCGGAGAAGAAGCCCCGGCUAACUGCGU
rnacentral:rRNA from 1 species